AUGCAGGUAAUGACAUAUGAGAAGCAAAGAGGAUCAAAUGAUUCCACAUACUGGGUAUUAUUUGAACUGAUAUGGGGGGCUACUUCAGAUUCCUUUUCAGCAAAAUAUGGGAACUCCAUUUUCUUGCAAGGGUAACCAUAGCAUCUACAUUGCUUUAUGCCUGAAACUGAGAGCUUUGGAACAGUGCUAUGCGCUAUUGGACAAAUAGAUACAGAGAUACCUAUCAGUGGUGGUCAGCAGCAAAUACGAGAAAUGUUAGAUACAUCCACACUCUUUCUUGAUCUAUGGUUAGUCCCCCUCUUGCCUACCUUAAGCUCUUGGUGAAUUACCAGAUUAAG